rnacentral:rRNA from 1 species
CGGCCCAGACUCCUACGGGAGGCAGCAGUAGGGAAUCUUCCGCAAUGGACGAAAGUCUGACGGAGCAACGCCGCGUGAGUGAUGAAGGCUUUCGGGUCGUAAAACUCUGUUGUUAGGGAAGAACAAGUGCUAGUUGAAUAAGCUGGCACCUUGACGGUACCUAACCAGAAAGCCACGGCUAACUACGUGCCAGCAGCCGCGGUAAUACGUAGGUGGCAAGCGUUAUCCGGAAUUAUUGGGCGUAAAGCGCGCGCAGGUGGUUUCUUAAGUCUGAUGUGAAAGCCCACGGCUCAACCGUGGAGGGUCAUUGGAAACUGGGAGACUUGAGUGCAGAAGAGGAAAGUGGAAUUCCAUGUGUAGCGGUGAAAUGCGUAGAGAUAUGGAGGAACACCAGUGGCGAAGGCGACUU